rnacentral:misc_RNA from 1 species
UUAGUUGAGUUGAGUUGAGUUUUAAUCUAAGUCCAACACCUUCUGUGGAGGAUCUAAUUAAUGUAGACUCAAAUAAAUGUGUAUAUCUCAAACUUUCAUUUAGGGGUGUUGUACAUAUCCUCCUUUUCACCCUGUUCUACAAUUUCACAACCUAAAUCCUGUUGUUGAUGUGGCAGUAGUUCUUCUAUACCUUUUGCAUAUCGUGAAUUGAAGUCUGAGGUUUAUGCAACUUAGUUG